rnacentral:snoRNA from 1 species
CUGCACUGUUCGUAACCUGGCUCGUGUCUCUUCUUGCUCGGGUUCCAUUCCAGUGCAACAUCACGCACAGCAAGACUGUGGACUGCU